AGUUUGCAGGCUGGCAAACAGGCUGGAAAAGCCCUUGAGAGACUCAGACAGCUCACGCCAUGCUUCAGACUUCAUAGACCUGGGAGACAUCCAGCUUUCUCCCCCAGAGAAGCCGCAGCCUGGUCCCUUCCCCUGCCACACCAUCUGGUCCACAGAAACACCAGACUUCCGUGUCUCUCAGCCCUAUAAAAAGCAACAUUCCUUAUCCUGUCUUCUCUCCACCAGUCCCUCCCGCCCACCCGUGUCUCCUCUCUCCUUGCCUUUGGUCUUUCUGUCUUAUUCCUUCUCCCCUGCCAAUCACUUCCUUUCUUCCCAACACUCCUCCUCCAUCUCCCCUCUGUGCACCUGCAGUGCUAUUCUUUGUCUAACGAUGAAAACAUCCUGAUGGGCUUCUAGAACAUUCGUAUGUCUGGAGGAGUCAGAGUCCUCCAGUACCGGGGUUGGCAAUUCUGCCUCCUUAGCUUCCAGGACAGCAUUUAUUCCGAGGCUUUGUGCGCCCUCUUGUGGUUUCUCCGUCAUGCCAACUCCCGCAGACAAUGGCUGCUUUGUCCAGGAGAGAGGAUUUAGAUGACAACUGGGCUUAAACCUCAGAAAUCUUCAAUCUCUGCUUCUUCAAACAGUUUGUAUUAGAAGGGUGGCUGGGAAAAAUGAAGUCCUUAUGCACGGAGCCACCGCGUUUCACGGCGAUGUUCACCUGGCCCAUGAAGAUCUCCGGACAUAAAACCAGGCAACAAAAUCAGGAUGCAACAGGCUGGAGGGGCAAAGCACAGAAGUGGAAUGGGUCCUGCCAUAGGAUGGUGAUGCGUCCGAUCUUGUGCAGGUCUUGUACACAGAAGAGCAGCAGCUGCAAGCUCAGGAAUGAAACGGCCACACCGUGCACAGAAGACAGUGCCCCAUGAUGGAUUCUCCGUUUCUUCCUCAGACACCCACUGUGAAGAAACACUUGAGUGUCACUGGCCAUGAGAGUCAUCUGGAUUUCAGUGAUAACUGGAUCCUCCUCCUGUUCCCAAGGCUACCCAUCAAGAGCUCACACUGCUACCGUUUCUCACACAUCGCUUGCUUGAUAGCCUAUGGAUAUCCUCAAAGCUCCUUGCUCCCUCUGGAAUCCACACUUCCCUGUGCAAAUCCAUGGAAAUAAAAAGAUAUACCUUUAUCCUCCUAAAAGAUCGGUUGGGACAGAGGUGCAUCUUACUCCUGGGCCACUGCUGCUGUUCAAGACUUGUUUGGUCAGAGGAUUGCACUGGACCCUGCUUCUUCAGAAUGCUUUAGAUCAAAGAGUAGCAAUAGCUUUCAUAUGCUUGCUUGAGUACCCUAAGUCUAGAGAAUUCAUGUCAGUUUUUCUAGACAGUUCUCGCCGCAUAGUUUGGUCUGGCUCAUUACACUUCUAACAAAGACAUCAUACACACACUCUCUUCUUGCAAGUACUCCAGUCUCUGUACACAGCUUUCUCAGUGAAAAGGGAGGAAUUAAAUUUAAAAUAUAUUAUAUGUAUGCAUGAAAAUAUAACAAGAAAAGCCAUCAGUCUUGUACAACUGAAUAAAUUAUCGAUCAUGUAGGUAAGAAAAGCAGACCUUCUGCAACACAUUUGACCCCAGAUCAGAUCUUAAGGAAAUAAACUUGAAUAUUGUUUCAUUUUCCUGGAACACAUUUCAUGUUUCAAAAUUCUUAGAAUAUGGACCAAAAUAAGGGUGGUUAUUUCCUUCUUAAUGAAGCUUUCAGAAAGAUUAUUUCCCAGAAAGUUUACAGGAAGAUGACAAAGAACCACUGUUCCUUCCCAUGUUCCCCUCCAGUCUUGCCUUGGUUGUCUUGUGAGUCCUGUGAGCAUCUCUUGUUGUCUGGAAGCCACAGUAUCUCAGCUUUACAAAAGGAAACUCCAGAGACAACCUGUGUUACAAUACAAGAAGCUAGCACUCCUCCACCAUAGAGAAGGUUCAUCUGCCCUGACUCGUCAGCGCUUUGCAUCCUAGGAUUGAUGGAGAAUUGCUCAGGGCCUGCUAAUGAAUAGUCAUGUACAAUGGAGGCACUUCACUAAUGGCUUGUGUGGGGGUGAAUUGUUUUGCUAAUUUAGUUAGCUCAAUGAUGCAGGUCCAGUAAGGAAGUGAAACCCCAGAACUUCCCCACCCCCAGGAGAUGACCUAACAAAGUCCAGUCAGUGUUGUAUAAUGCGAUUGUAUCAACUACCAAAUAUAAGCACAGUGUGCCCAGCAUGGUGGUACAUGCCUGUAAUCCCAGCUGAGACAGGUGGAGCAGCCUGUGCAAUAAACACAGUGAAGCUGUCUUAAAACAUCAAAAUAAAAUACACUGGAAAAAUAAAGACCUUAUUAAUCAU